UACGUAGGGUGCAAGCGUUAUCCGGAUUUACUGGGUGUAAAGGGCGCGUAGGCGGGAAUGCAAGUCAGAUGUGAAAUCUGGGGGCUCAACCCUCAAACUGCAUUUGAAACUGUAUUUCUUGAGUGAUGGAGAGGCAAGUGGAAUUCCUAGUGUAGCGGUGAAAUGCGUAGAUAUUAGGAGGAACACCAGUGGCGAAGGCGGCUUGCUGGACAUUAACUGACGCUGAGGCGCGAAAGCGUGGGGAGCAAACAGG
rnacentral:rRNA from 1 species